rnacentral:rRNA from 1 species
GACUAUACUNUGAAACUGCGAAUGGCUCAUUAAACAGUUAUKGUUUAUUUGAUGGUACCUACUACUUGGAUAACCGUAGUAAUUCUAGAGCUAAUACAUGCAGGAAGACCCGACUUCGGAAGGGUUGUAUUUAUUAGAUAAGAACAUCAGCUUGCUGUUGCGUGCCGAGUCACAAUACUGCUCGAAUCGCAUGACUUACGUGCGCGAUGUUCAUUCAAAUUUCUGCCCUAUCAGCUUUCGAUGGUAGGAUCGAGGCCUACCAUGGCGUUUACGGGUAACGGAGAAUUAGGGUUCGAUUCCGGAGAGGGAGCCUAGGAAAUGGCUACCACAUCCAAGGAAGGCAGCAGGCGCGUAAAUUGCCCGAAUCCUGACACAGGGAGGUAGUGACAAGAAAUAACGAUACAGGGCUACAUCUAGUCUUGUAAUUGGAAUGAGUACAAUUUACAUCUCUUAACGAUGAUCUAAUUGGAGGGCAA